GUCGGUAGCUCAGGUGGUUAGAGCGCACGCCUGAUAAGCGUGAGGUCGGAGGUUCAAGUCCUCCCAGACC
rnacentral:tRNA from 1 species